AUUCCAGCUCCAAUAGCGUAUAUUAAAGUUGUUGCAGUUAAAAAGCUCGUAGUUGGAUUUCGGGACGGGCCAGUUGGUCCGCCGCAAGGUGUGUACUGACUGGUCUGUUCUUCUUCGCAAAGACUGCGUGUGCUCUUUAUUGAGUGUGCGUAGGAUUUACGACGUUUACUUUGAAAAAAUUAGAGUGUUCAAAGCAGGCUAUCGCUUGAAUACAUGAGCAUGGAAUAAUGGAAUAGGACUUUGGUUCUAUUUUGUUGGUUUCUAGGACCGAAGUAAUGAUUAAGAGGGACAAUUGGGGGCAUCCGUAUUUCGUUGUCAGAGGUGAAAUUCUUGGAUUUACGAAAGACGAACAACUGCGAAAGCACUUGCCAAGAGUGUUUUCAUCA
rnacentral:rRNA from 1 species